GUCCACAUGGUGUAGUGGUAACACAUCCUUUCAAUGCUCUAGGUUUACACGGGAUGAUGCAGGUUCAACUCCCCCUGUGGACA